rnacentral:rRNA from 1 species
UACGUAGGGGGCGAGCGUUGUCCGGAUUCAUUGGGCGUAAAGCGCGGGCAGGCGGCCCGCUCAGUCGGCCGUGAAAGCGCCGGGCUCAACUCGGCGAGGUCGGGCGAUACUGGCGGGCUCGAGGCUGGUAGAGGGCGGUGGAAUUCCAGGUGUAGCGGUGAAAUGCGUAGAUAUCUGGAGGAACACCGGUGGCGAAGGCGGCAUCCUGGACCGGUAUUGACGCUGAGGCGCGAAAGCUAGGGGAGCAAACGGG